CCCUCAGUAACGGCGAGUGAAGCGGUAACAGCUCAAAUUUGAAAGCUAGCUCUUUUAGGGUUCGCAUUGUAAUUUGUAGAAGAGGCUUCGGGUGUGGCCCCGGUCUAAGUUCCUUGGAACAGGACGUCAUAGAGGGUGAGAAUCCCGUAUGUGACUGGGUGCUUUCGCUCAUGUGAAGCUCUUUCGACGAGUCGAGUUGUUUGGGAAUGCAGCUCAAAAUGGGUGGUAAAUUUCAUCUAAAGCUAAAUAUUGGCCAGAGACCGAUAGCGCACAAGUAGAGUGAUCGAAAGAUGAAAAGCACUUUGGAAAGAGAGUUAAACAGUACGUGAAAUUGUUGAAAGGGAAGCGCUUGCAACCAGACUUGCGCGCUGAUGAUCAUCCGGGCUUCUGUCCGGUGCACUCGUCUGCGCUCAGGCCAGCAUCGGUUUCGGUGGUGGGAUAAAGGCCUUGGGAAUGUAGCUUCUUUCGGGGAGUGUUAUAGCCCUCGGUGCAAUGCCGCCUACCGGGACCGAGGACCGCGCUUCGGCUAGGAUGCUGGCGUAAUGGUUGUAAGCGACCCGUCUUGAAACACGGACCAAGGAGUCUAACAUCUAUGCGAGUGUUUGGGUGUCAAACCCAUACGCGUAAUGAAAGUGAACGGAGGUGAGAACCCUUAAGGGUGCAUCAUCGACCGAUCCUGAUGUCUUCGGAUGGAUUUGAGUAAGAGCAUAGCUGUUGGGACCCGAAAGAUGGUGAACUAUGCGUGAAUAGGGUGAAGCCAGAGGACACUCUGGUGGAGGCUCGCAGCGGUUUCUGACGUGCAAAUCGAUCGUCAAAUUUGCGUAUAGGGGCGAAAGACUAAUCGAACCAUCUAGUAGCUGGGUUCCUGCCGA
rnacentral:rRNA from 1 species